rnacentral:rRNA from 1 species
GUCAUAUGCUUGUCUCAAAGAUUAAGCCAUGCAUGUCUCAGUACAAGCCAAAUUAAGGUGAAACCGCGAAAGGCUCAUUAAAUCAGUUAUGGUUCCUUAGAUCGUACCCACAAUUACUUGGAUAACUGUGGUAAUUCUAGAGCUAAUACAUGCAAACAGAGCUCCGACCGGAGACGGAAGGAGUGCUUUUAUUAGAUCAAAACCAAUCGGUGGCGGGUUCGCGCUCGUCAUCGUACAACUUGGUGACUCUGAAUAACUUUACGCUGAUCGCACGGUCAUCGCACCGGCGACGCAUCUUUCAAAUGUCUGCCUUAUCAACUGUCGAUGGUAGGUUCUGCGCCUACCAUGGUUGUAACGGGUAACGGGGAAUCAGGGUUCGAUUCCGGAGAGGGAGCCUGAGAAACGGCUACCACAUCCAAGGAAGGCAGCAGGCGCGCAAAUUACCCACUCCCGGCACGGGGAGGUAGUGACRAAAAAUAACGAUACGGGACUCAUCCGAGGCCCCGUAAUCGGAAUGAGUACACUCUAAACCCUUUAACGAGGAUCAAUUGGAGGGCAAGUCUGGUGCCAGCAGCCGCGG